ACUCAUUCUGGGUCAGCCUUCCUCCGGGGGCACUGCCGUGGUUCCCUCUCUGCCACUUCCCCACCACUUCUGGGGCUAAGCCUAUUUUCCAGAUGAAGAAGUGGACGCCUGGGGAGAUGAAGGGACCUGCCCGGGGCUAAGGGAUUCCAAAGUCCAGGCCACCCCCCGCCUCACCCGAACCAGCUGUGGCCACAUCAGAGCUGACCACAUGUGGCCGUUGCAGGGUGCUGGUUUUCUACAGACCUCGGUGUCCGGCACCUGUAACGUGCAUUCACCUCACCCAGAACUGAGUUAAGACUUCACAGACCCAGGGCCGGGCGCGGUGGCUCACGCCUGUAAUCCCAGCACUUUGGGGGGCCGAGGUGGGUGGAUCACGAGGUCAAGAGAUCGAGACCAUCCUGGUCAACACAGUGAAACCCCGUCUCUACUAAAAAUUCAAAAAUUAGCUGGGCACGGUGGUGCGCGCCUGUAAUCCCAGCUACUGGGGAGGCUGAGGCAGAAUUGCCUGAACCCAGGAGGUGGAGGUUGCGGUGAGCCGAGAUCGCGCCAUUGCGCUCCAGCCUGGGUAACAACAGCGAACUCCGUCUCAAAAAGAAGGCUUCACAGACCCAAACUGCUGGGUGCACACCCCCCUCGUGAGCUUCCCGUGGUGUGUAAUGAAGGACCGCAGGCUUGGUGGCUUAGAACACAAAUCCAUUGUCCUGCAGCCUGGAAGCCAGAAGUCUGAGAUCACGGUGUGGGCGGGGCCUCGCUCCCUCCACGGGUUCUAGGGGCGGGGCCUUCCUGUCUUUCCAGCUCCUGGGUCCCCGGGCGUUCCUCGCUCCAGCCUCCGCCUUCUCCUGGGCCCGUCUCUGUGUCUCUUCUGUUCGCCUUGAAUUCAUCUCUCAAAACCAAGGUGCUAGGCACGGCACCGUGGCUCACGCCUGUAAUCCCAGCAGUUUGGGAGGCCAAGGUCUCCUUUGUGUCCCCAGCACAAAUGCCUGGCACAUUAGACGCUCAGCAGAUAUUUGUUGAAUGAAUGAAUCUGACGGUGGCAGCAUCUCUUUCAAGGACUCUCCCCACUUGGAAGCUGAGGCUCAGAGAGGUGCAGUGGC
rnacentral:lncRNA from 1 species